rnacentral:rRNA from 1 species
AUUGAACGCUGGCGGCAGGCUUAACACAUGCAAGUCGAACGAGUGGCGGACGGGUGAGUAAUGUCUGGGACACUGCCUGAUGGAGGGGGUUAACUACUGGAAACGGUUGCUAAUACCGCAUACCAUCAGAUAUGCCCAGAUGGGAUUAGCUAGUUGGUGGGGUAACGGCUCACCAAGGCGACGAUCCCUAGAUGGUCUGAGAGGAUGACCAGCCACACUGGAACUGAGACACGGUCAAGACGCCUACGGGAGGCAGCAGUGGGGAAGAUUGCGAAAUGGGGGCAAGCCUGAUGCAGCCAUGCCGCGUGUAUGAAGAAGGCCUUCGGGUUGUAAAGUUCUUUCAGCGGGGAGGCGUUACCCGCAGAAGAAGCACCGGCUAACUCCGUGCCAGCAGCCGCGGUAAUUC